rnacentral:piRNA from 1 species
AAGGCAAAAUAUCAUGAGUGCA